GACGAACGCUGGCGGCGUGCCUAGUACAUGCAAGUGGGACGCAAGGACACACACUGUGCUUGCACACCGUGUUUUCUUGAGUCGCGAACGGGUGAGUAACGCGUAGGUAACCUGCCUAUUAGCGGGGGAUAACUAUUGGAAACGAUAGCUAAUACCGCAUAAUAUUAAUUAUUGCAUGAUAAUUGAUUGAAAGAUGCAAGCGCAUCACUAGUAGAUGGACCUGCGUUGUAUUAGCUAGUUGGUAAGGUAAGAGCUUACCAAGGCGACGAUACAUAGCCGACCUGAGAGGGUGAUCGGCCACACUGGGACUGAGACACGGCCCAGACUCCUACGGGAGGCAGCAGUAGGGAAUCUUCGGCAAUGGACGAAAGUCUGACCGAGCAACGCCGCGUGAGUGAAGAAGGUUUUCGGAUCGUAAAGCUCUGUUGUAAGUCAAGAACGUGUGUGAGAGUGGAAAGUUCACACAGUGACGGUAGCUUACCAGAAAGGGACGGCUAACUACGUG
rnacentral:rRNA from 1 species